CAAAUAAGGACUGUAAACGCUUCAUAUGGAAUUUCAUACGCUUCCCAUUCCAAUAAAUCCGCUUCAACCAUAACAUCUUGAAAUCUACCCUUUGAAUUCAAUUCUCACUUCUUCCAAUCAAUACUCUGUUGCAAGUUCCUUCUCUUUUUCCAAUCCCAUUUCUCUUUUCCCGUCCCUAUUCAUCUAAAUGGGUUUCUCUAUGCAAAUCCUUCAACUCUAAUUUAUCUUCUCCAAAUACCUAAUCAAUUCAUCAUCAAUGUCAAUUCUUCAAUUUUUCAGAUAGUUUAUUUCAAUUUUUGUUGAUUACUGUUUAGUUUACCUAUAUAAAUAUGAUCAUUUUCUUCUCCAAAUUCACACCUUUUUAGAUUACAUCAGAAAGAAUAUCUAAACCCAAACCACUUCUUAGGCCUAUCAUCAGAAAGAAUAGAGUCUCUCCAACAACUUGGACUCUUAUAUUGAUUCCACUAUUCAAUAUGUGUUUGUUGUCUUAGUGCUGAUGAAAUGAAGAGGGUAAGCAUGCUAAAGUGAGUCUUAUACCUAACAGACAGCAUGCUGAUGAAGCACUUUCUUCAUAUAAGAUGGAGGAGCUCUAGAGAAAGAUAAUUAUAAAGUGAAAAUAAUAAAUGAUAGUAUCAAGCGAAGCACCUAAGGCAAAGCAACAGUUGAAUUUGAGAUGCCCUGUGGCUAUGAAUUUAAUAUUGCAGUACAUGUUAGUUGUAUGUAAAAAUUGAAUGUCUAAACUAUGUCAAGUUUUAUUUGUGUAGAAAAUCACCAAUGAAUUACUUGUGCUUUAAAAGUAUAGUGAUUAUUAUCCUGAUAUUGGACAUGGAGAUAGGGAACUGAUCAUGAUUUCAUGUCUAUUUGCAAGGGAUGGAAGGAUAUUGCAGUCAAGCAAGAUCGAUCUAAUGAGAACAAAUCGAGGAUGGGAAUAUCACUUCCAUCUAUGCAUUCUCUAUAUAUAAUCUCAUUUCAAUUUAGAGCGUGUGAAGAAGUUCACUAAGUUUGAUGUCAUGUACUUGAUAAGAAGAUUUUGCAUAAACUUGCAUAAAGAUUAUUGGAAAAGAUAGAUUUUUUAUUGAUGUGUUAGUCCAUUUGAUCUUCAAGUCCCCACCAAUGUAGUUGUGUUUUAUCCCCACCCUUUCCUUUUGGUUACAGUUAUUUUCUAGAAAAUGAAUUAUCAUUGUAUAAAAAGGAGUAAAUUAAUAGAACACAAGAAACACUAAAAUGAAAAGUGAUCUAAGAAUGCAGUAAUGAUCCCUUAAUCACUACAAUUUUUC